GAUGAACGCUGGCGGCGUGCCUAAUACAUGCAAGUCGAGCGAACGGACGAGAAGCUUGCUUCUCUGAUGUUAGCGGCGGACGGGUGAGUAACACGUGGAUAACCUACCUAUAAGACUGGGAUAACUUCGGGAAACCGUAGCUAAUACCGGAUAAUAUUUUGAACCGCAUGAUUCAAAAGUGAAAGACGUUCUUGCUGUCACUUAUAGAUGGAUCCGCGCUGCAUUAGCUAGUUGGUAAGGUAACGGCUUACCAAGGCAACGAUGCAUAGCCGACCUGAGAGAGUGAUCGGCCACACGGGAACUGAGACACGGUCCAGACUCCUACGGGAGGCAGCAGUAGGGAAUCUUCCGCAAUGGGCGAAAGCCUGACGGAGCAACGCCGCGUGAGUGAUGAAGGUCUUCGGAUCGUAAAACUCUGUUAUUAGGGAAGAACAUAUGUGUAAGUAACUGUGCACAUCUUGACGGUACCUAAUCAGAAAGCCACGGCUAACUACGUG
rnacentral:rRNA from 1 species